rnacentral:rRNA from 1 species
GUGACAUGUUAGGACUCUAAUGAGUUUAAGACCUAUUGAGCCUCUUAAGUGAGGCCGCCAGCAACCUUUUUUUUCUCUACAUUUUAAAAAAAAAACUAAAAUUCUACCCUUAUCGGUGGAUCACUCGGCUCG